UACGUAGGUCCCGAGCGUUGUCCGGAUUUAUUGGGCGUAAAGCGAGCGCAGGUGGUUUAUUAAGUCUGGUGUAAAAGGCAGUGGCUCAACCAUUGUAUGCAUUGGAAACUGGGGAACUUGAGUGCAGGAGAGGAGAGUGGAAUUCCUAGUGUAGCGGUGAAAUGCGUAGAUAUUAGGAGGAACACCAGUUGCGAAGGCGGCUCUCUGGACUGUAACUGACACUGAGGCACGAAAGCGUGGGGAGCAAGCAGG
rnacentral:rRNA from 1 species